GACGAACGCUGGCGGCGCGCUUAACACAUGCAAGUCGAGCGAGAACCCAGGCCUUCGGGCCUGGGGAAAGCGGCGAACGGGUGAGUAACACGUGGGCAACCCACCCUUGGUACCGGGAUAGCCCGAGGAAACUCGGAUUAAUACCGGAUGGCCCAACAGCUCUUCGGGGCGGUUGGAAAAGGUAGCUUCGGCCUCCGACCAAGGACGGGCCCGCGGUGGAUUAGCUUGUUGGUGGGGUAAUGGCCUACCAAGGCGACGAUCCANAGCUGGUCUGAGAGGACGAUCAGCCACACUGGGACUGAGACACGGCCCAGACUCCUACGGGAGGCAGCAGUGGGGAAUCUUGCGCAAUGGGCGAAAGCCUGACGCAGCGACGCCGCGUGGGGGAAGAAGGCUUUCGGGUUGU
rnacentral:rRNA from 1 species